rnacentral:lncRNA from 1 species
UUGCCCUCCUCUCUUGGGACUAGCAUAUCAUAUUGCAUAUCAUUUUUAGGUCAUUAGGCAUUGCAUAUUGCAUAUCAUGUGGUUACAUUGUGCAAGCCAUUCCCCCAAGUCUUGAUCAGAAGAUAGGAGGUCAUGUGCAAGCUAGGGUUUCAUUGGACUGGUCAUUAAUCAUCUGAGGAUGUGGAGGUCCAAAUUAGGGUUUUGAUUCUCAAGGAGAUUGGUCUUCAU